rnacentral:lncRNA from 1 species
UUGAUUUGAGAUUUCCUGGAGAGUGCAAAAUAUUUUAUGCACUGUUUUCUUGCGUAGAUCGGAAAAGAAGGCCUAUAGAUGUGAUUGAGAUGAAAUCUACCGCUUUCUACUUCGUCUUCCUCCUCCUCCUGCACUACGCAGUGAGGGUGGGGUCCACUCCGCCGAGUUAUUUCCAUUAAGGCCGCCCGAAUUUGUCGCCUCCUUCUCUGCCUUCGACAGCUCCCUACUCUCCUCGCGUGCUGCUUUCUACCUCCUCUCUCUCUCUCUCUCUCUCUCUCUCUGUCUUUUGUUAUCCGCGCCUCGUUCUUUCNNNNNNNNNNNNNNNNNNNNUCCUCUCUCUCUCUCUCUCUCUCUCUCUCUGCUUUUUGUAUCCGCGCCUCGUCUUUCUUUGCCAUUGAUAGUUUCCCCGGGAUUAGCGGGAUCGAUGACAGGAAGAAGCGAAAGAGGGUACCGGGAAGAAGCGUAGUCGGUGCCGGGAGAGGGAGGAG